rnacentral:rRNA from 1 species
UACGAAGGGUGCUAGCGUUGCUCGGAAUUACUGGGCGUAAAGGGCGCGUAGGCGGCUUGGCGAGUCAGGCGUGAAAUUCCUGGGCUUAACCUGGGGACUGCGCUUGAUACUGCUGGGCUUGAGGCCGAGAGAGGGUGGUGGAAUUCCCAGUGUAGAGGUGAAAUUCGUAGAUAUUGGGAAGAACACCGGUGGCGAAGGCGACCACCUGGCUCGGUACUGACGCUGAGGCGCGACAGCGUGGGGAGCAAACAGG